AAUUAUCUAUGUAGUUUUUUUUAUCGAUAGACCAGCUUCAAAAUUUUUAAUGGAAUGCUUUAAUGGAAUGUACAAAAUAAGUACUUGCGCACUGAAGUGCUGAUACAGGUUAUGUAACAAGUGUCAGUUACGUAACCCGACCGGUGUGAACUUAGUUGAGAAUAGCCAAUGAACUAUGCAUUUGGGUGCAAGAUAGUUAUUGGAAUUGCUCGAAUUCAUCCAAUGAGAGUGUCUCCCGGAGGCUGCACGUGAUUUCUCUUCUGACAUUUGCUCACCCUUAACCAAAGAGCACAGCCAAUAACCACAGGUUAAGAAUAAUCGUUAAAGGAUCUCCCGGACGAAAAAUGCUAAAUUCAGAUAGCUCCGAAUCCGACUCCCUGCAACCAAUGUCUUUAUCUUCCUCAUCUUUCUCAUCUUCUUCGGAACAAACAAAGGAUAAAAUAUUUCAACUGGUGAAGAUGAAGCCCAAAGUUAUUCGGCCUAGCUGUCCGAUGGGUUAACUUACCUGAAGCUCAAAUAGAGGCACAGUAUACUGCACUGCUGAUGGAAAUUCCAAUACGGCCGGAAAAUCAAAGAAGUACAACUUCCCGACUUCCCAUGGAACCAAUUAAUGAAGCAUCAUCUCGUCGGAAUUCCUAUUGCAUGGAUCCAGAAAUGAGAUCAUAUCACAUUGCAGGUACCAUCGUGGUAGGAGCAAUAAUUUUGGCCGUGGUCAUCAUGUUUUUUCACAUUUUCUGCUUUUAAAUUUCAAAUUACUACCCAAGCUGUUGAUAUGAGGUUUCAGUUUUCCCUUCAUUAGUUUGCAAAUAUUACUGCAUUCAGAACUGAAAGCUAUUCAAUUUUUGGAUUGCAAAUUUGUAGGACCUUUUUUUUCCUUGUGGUUUUCCCAUUGCUACAGAGGGAAAAUAUUUUCUUUGUAAGGUUUCAAAGCUUUUUUAAUCCUUCAAGCCAGUGUGUGAUAAGAAUAAGAUGUCAAAUAUAAUUCUCAGAUUAUUUGUGCUGUGUAAUCGACUUAUCGAAACAUUGUAAUCAAUGUAUGAAAAUAAUCUUUAAAUAUUGUCUCGGCGCUAAUAUUCAUAAAACUUCAAUGUUAACUUUCAAGCAAGAUGUUAUUUACUUUUCAACUCAUUCAUUUACAAGUACUGUAUUACUGUGCUCAAGGGGCUCCAAAAGCUCUCACUUUGUGUAAUGGAAGAAUUAUGGCUACAUAGCUAUGUUUAUGCUGCCAUUAUAUUAUUUCAAAUCUGUCAAUGUCCUCAAAAUGUGCAAUUUUAUGUUUGGAAAGAAAAUUAACACUAGAACGACUGAUAUUUUUACCUACCUAGAAUGUUCAUUGUUGUCAUUUUGGUCGAAAU
rnacentral:misc_RNA from 1 species